UACGGGGGGGGCAAGCGUUGUUCGGAAUUACUGGGCGUAAAGGGUUCGUAGGUGGCCAACUAAGUCAGACGUGAAAUCCCUCAGCUUAACUGGGGGACUGCGUCCGAGACUGGAUGGCUUGAGUGCAGGAGAGGAACGCGGAAUUCCAGGUGUAGCGGUGAAAUGCGUAGAUAUCUGGAGGAACACCGGUGGCGAAGGCGGCGUUCUGGACUGCUACUGACACUGAGGAACGAAAGCCAGGGGAGCAAACGGG
rnacentral:rRNA from 1 species